UGAGCAAUCUGCCCUUCUCAUCGGAAUAAGCGUUGGAAACGACGUCUAAUGCCGAAUACGACUUCCUUUCGCAUGAUCGGAGGUGGAAAGCUCCGGCGGAGAAGGAUGAGCUCGCGGCCUAUCAGCUAGUUGGUGUGGGUAAUGGCCCACCAAGGCGACGACGGGUAGCCGGCCUGAGAGGGUGACCGGCCACACUGGGACUGAGACACGGCCCAGACUCCGUACGGGAGCAG
rnacentral:rRNA from 1 species